AUUGUUAGAGAUAGACGGAAACUCGGUGUAAUAGCUAUCAUUGAUGAUCAUAUUCAAAUUAUGUAAAAAUAAAAGGUAGAUGGGCUUUAAACUGUUUUUACCAAGUCAUAAUCCAUUUACCAUAAAAUCUGCCCUAUAAAGUGUAGAAUUCAGUAACUUGUAGAAUACAGUUAUAAAACCAAAAGCCAUCAUAGCCAGUAAACUUUUCCUGGCGCUGGGGAUCCGUACAUGAGGGGCAAGUGCUCUACUACCAAGCUACUUUCCUACUACCAAAGUCAAUUCUAGAAUAUUUUCUUUAACUCGGAACUUUUGUAGAUUUUCAUGACAGGUUUCUUUCAUUUUACUUGCUUUCUAAGUCCAUUCAGGUGUAACAAAUACUGAAGUAAUUCAUAUUAUUAUGUGGUUGAAUGAUACUGUAUAGAUACAAACAUCUUGUUUAUCUAUCCGUUGGUGGACAUUUAAAAUGCUUGUAUCAUAUUUGUUACAAAUAAUGCUAUACAAUUUUUACACAGACACAUCAACUAUCUCAUAAAGUAGACUUACAGACCAUAUUCCUACCAGCAAUGCACGAAGAGUUCAACUUGUGCAUGUUUGCCAACAUGUGUUACCACGUACAUCUAUGUCCUGAUCUUAGUCUGGGAGGAGAUGCAUUCAGCUUUUCAGUGUACAGUGAGUGUGAGUCCUGGAACACGCACACUGUUGAGAAGGAAGAAGCUCCUCUAGACUGCUCUCCACCUGAAUGGAUGCUGUUUUGCUUGCAUCGGAAGGGGAACUGGGUUCAUGCCAAUACUUAAGGGCCUAUAAAGAUGACCAUGGGGCUCUGGCUCCUUCAUCCCAGUACUAGCUCAAGACCCCUCUUAGUUGUUCUGUAUAAUCAUCUUGAUGUUGCUCGCCAGGACUUGUGAAGAUUCUGUAUCUGUAUUCAUAAAGAACACUGGCCUAUAGUAUCCUAUAGUAUCAAGUCAUUGUGAUGACUGUUUGAUUUAGAUAAAAUACUAACCUGCCUUAAACAUUUCUGAAAUUCACAGGAGAAGCCACCAAGUCUCUCCUUUAUGACAGCUUUCAUUUGUAUGUGUGUCUGCAUGCACACAUUCAUACAACAAUCUCUUUACUUGGCAUUACUUUACUCAGACUAACUUUUUUUCUUUAUUCAUUUUAUUUCUUUUACAUUCUUCUAGAUAUUUGUCUAGUUCAUAUAUAGGACACAUUUUUUGGCAUGCAAUUGUAUAAACCAAUUAUCUUUUUUUUUCUGUAAGACCUUACAUUCUUGAUUUUAGUAUGUAAGACUUUUUGUGUUAAGUGCCUAACCUAUUAGAAAUUUGAUUAUCUUUACAAAAAAAAACUUUGAAUUUGUUUACUUGACUAUCUUUUCUUUCAAUUCUGUCAGCAUGUUGGGUAUUUGGAAAUUGCAGUGUUACAUGAAGACUGGCCUAUUCUUUUAUUAAGAGUUUUUAUUUUAAAAUUAUGUAUAUAUGUGUAUGUCUGCACGGGAGUAUGUGCAUGUAAGUGCAGUUUCCCAUGAAGGCCAGCAACGGAUGUUGGAUCCUCUGCAGUACAAGUUAUAGGCAAAGUUAUAAGCUGUGCAAUAUGGGUGCCAGGACCCAAAAUCAAGUCCUCUCCAAGAGCAUGCUCUUAACCACUGACCCAUCUCUAUAAACCCAAGACUGGUCUUUCCUAUUAUAAAACUGAUACCUCUAGAAACUUAAAGUCUAUAUGUAGUUCAAUUAAACAGAGUGCCACUUGCUUUGAUUACAGUUUGCAUAGCAUACGUUACAACUUUUUAAUCUCAAUAUUUAUAUUACCUAUAUUUUAACAUAUUCAGUAAAGAAUGCGGAGAUACUUGAACAAUCCAAUAAACUGAAAUUAAAAAUCUGAUGAUUCCGCAUCUGUUAGUUGGCACUAAAUAAACUUGCUAACUUUGUUAACUGGGGACUAGUAGAACCAGAGGAUGCUCUAGUUUUACCUGUACCAUUCAGUGCUCUUGCAGCUGACUAUCUGGAAAGGAUCAUUCAUGGAAUAGAAUUGUCAUCCUUAGUUCUAUAUAAACUUUUAUAGCCGUUCCUACAGAAAAUCUGACAAAAGCAGCAGAAUCAUUUGUGAUUACAGAAGCAUAUGCUUGAAAGACCAUCACAAGGGUUUAUCUCUUUGCAUCUCUGUGUUGCUAUAACCAGUUUAGAUCCCAGGGAAAUCCUCAGCUAGAUUCCUUGUCAAGUUCUUCCCAAGUUAAGAGUGAAGAAAUUAUAUACCAAGUACUAAUCUAGAAUAUUUUUUGUUUAGUUUUUUGUUGUUUUUGUUUUGCUUUGUUUCUUUGAGAUAGGGUAUUGCUACAUAGUCCAAGCUGGCCAAAACCUCAAGCAAUCCUCCUGCCUUAGCCUCCUAAGUAUUGGGAGUACAAAUGUGCAAUGUGAUCUCAGUCUUAAUGGUGCUAUUCUUUUAAAAAGAGAGCCCUGUCUGCUUUGUUUAUGUGGCUGGUGUAAAAAUGAAGCUCACCACACAUGGAGAUAGUGACUCCACUAGGUGCCUCAAGUUCAUGGUUCACACACAGUCCAGCAGCUUUCUAAAGCUGAUAGCAUUUGCCACCCUCAGGGGCAUCUUCCUGGGUUUUUCCCUUGUAUGUUUUCCUGAGCCAAAACAAUUUUCUUCAAGGAAUUUUCUUAUUUCCCAUAUCUAUUUUUGAAAUGUUUUUUACUAUCUGUUGGUUAUCAGCUCAAAUCUAAAAGUCAAGAUAUAACAUUUAAAAUCUUUAUCAACUAUUCUAAAAUAUAUAAUCUCAUAUCUUUGAAUUUUUUGUAAAGUAUUUCAAAUACAUAGAAAAGUAUGACGUAUUAUAUUCUUGUCAGCAUCAACUAGACAGUUAAUAUUGACCAAUGAGACUCAGAUACUCUUUGGGUAAGUGUUAAGUUUAUAGGUGUGUGUGUGUGUGUGUGUGUGUGUGUGUGUGUGUGUGUGUGUGUGUGUGUUUGAGAGAAAGGGGGGCGAGGGGGAAUUUGGAGUAUUAUAUUUUUUCAUCAUUAAUAUUCUUCACAUGCAUCUUCGAAUCUUCCUUUGGUUUCUGUCAUUUUGGUUAGCUUAUACAGUCUUAUAAUCUCAACACUAUCCCUGUAUAACAUUCCCUUAGUAUAAAUUCAUGUAACAGAAUGCUGGUACAAAUUAUCCAAGCAUUCUCUGCAUGAAUUACCUAAAAAUCUAUUUCUACUUCCCUACUGUGGAUCAUGUAUACCACAUCCAAUUAUUCAUGCAAAAAAUGCAAGUAACUGUUUUGUGCAUGUGCCUUUACAUACAUGUGUAGAUUUUUCUCAGCACAGUAGCACACAUCUUUCCCAGAACUUGGGAAGUGAAGGAAGAAAGAUCAAGAGUUUACGGCCAACCUCUAGUAUCUAGUAAGUUUGACAUCAGUCUUGUCUUGUAACUUCCGAUAACCCCAUCAAAACAGAGUACCAGCAGUAUAUGAAAGACCUGAUUUCACUGCUGCACAAGUCUUUUGAUGCAAAGCUAGUUAAUAUUUACUUUCUUGUUAAGUUUUGUUUUAUGGUUCCUGAGAUCAUACCCAAACCCUCACUGGGUUUUAAUAUGCAUUUUCUUCCUUUAAAGCCUAAUUCCAACCUCCCUUCUUUCCUCAAACCUUUAAUCCACCCAAUGACUUUACUCCUGGAGGAGAGGGUUCUUUCUUGGUGUACAGCAAUCUGUGGCUCUACUCUCACUAAACACAACUGCAUUCUGGGUACGCGAAGCAUUCAUACACCCAUCAAGGCCUCUAGCCACUUUAGUUUCUGGGUUACAUGGUCUAGAAGAUGAUUAAGGGUCCACAACAUAUCUAAAGAUACAUAUGAAACCCUGAGAGUGAUAUCUACUGCCUACAGAAUGGGAGUAUUAUUUAUGCAUUCUCCCAAGAGGGGGUCAUAAAAGUUAAUUCCAGCCUUAAAAUCCUGAAAUAGGAAAACUAUUAUUUCUAGUAGACUCAAGUAUUAGUAAGUAAUAAGCAGUUUUGGCAUUCAAUAUGAUGUGCUGAUUUAUAACUAUGCACUUGGGAGACAUCAUUAUUUAUUUAGAAAUUGUAUUUAGGAUCCUUAUACAUUACCUGAUAGCAGUUACCUUUGUACAUGCUUCUGAGAUUGACUUGUGAACCAAUUCCUAAUAAAAGAAUAUUUUAAGAAAUAUUUUUCUAACUGCCUUGUUAUUUAACCUAACUACAGGCAAAAUUUAAUAUCAUUAGAACAAGAAUCAACAAUUUUUACACAGAGAUAGUAUGUAUAUAGAUAUGUAUGCAGCUAAUGUUUUAGGGGAAGGAGAACAACUGAACCUUUACUAUAAAGUAUGUAAUAUUGACAGAUUUGGUCUAAACCAUGUGUAUAAUGUUUCUUACACAGUAUGAUUACAUAUUAAUGAAUGACACUGAGAUGGUGUCUGUAUGUGCACGCACAUGCACGUGCACAUGCAUGUAGGGGUAUGCGAAGAUGCAUAUGCUUACACAUGUAAGUAGAAGUCAGAGAAUAACUUCAAAUAUCAUUCCUCAGGCACCAUUCCUUAAAAAAAAAAAAAAAGGAAAGAAGGACAGAUGGACGGACAGACAGGAAGUCUCCUCAACCACCUAGAACUCAGCUAAGUUGACUGAUCUUGAGAUGCAAAACUAAAUUGAUGCUGGAGCUGGAGAAAACUCAAGGGUCAAGAAAGCUGACUGUUCUUACUGAAGAUGCAAAUUCAGUUCUCAGCUCCCACAUGGUGGCUCACAAUGGUCAUCAUUUUAGCUUCAGGAGAGCUGGCACCCUCUUCUGACCUCUAUAAGCACCAGGAAUGCACAUGGUACACAUACACAUGCCUGCAGUUAAGCACUCAUACACAUAAAACAGAAUUUUUUAAAUGUUAAAUUACUUUGUAUGUCUCAGAUUUCUUUAAUGUACGAAUGUCUAGCUAUAAACUUGUCUUUGAAAUGUUUUCAUUAGGAGCUAGGGCAUGGGUCAGUGGGUAACAUGCUUGUUGAACAAGCAUAUGGUCAUGGGUUUAAAUCCCCAGCACCCACCUGAAAACCAAGCAUGGCAAUUUGUCAGUAACCUUGACACUGGGGAACAAAGACAAGUAGAUGCAGAUCCCAGUAGUUCCCUGGUUAACCAAUUUGGCAAAAACAGCUAGUUGAGGUUCAGUGAGAUCCUGUCUUGAAAACUAAGGUCAGGAGACAAGGUAAGGGAAGGUAAGGAAGGACACUGGAUACCUGCCUCCAGACCCCAGUUGCAUACUCAUGAACAAGUACAACUGCACACAUAUACAGACCCACCCACACAUAACCAGAGGAAUGCUUUCAUUGGCUCCAUAGGUUUUUAUAUCUUGUGGCUUGUUUUUUUCAUUCAAUUAUAGGAUUUUUUUUAAUUUUCCUUAUUUUUUAAAUGAUUCAUGCAGUACUGUGCUGCUCCAUGAUUCUGUGUACAUUCAGUAAUUUUUCAUGCUGUUGAUUACUAGCUUUAUUAAACUGUAAUCAGUUAAAGCACAAGAAAGUAUUUCAAUUUUCUUAUAUUCUUUAGAUUUUCUUUGUGCUCUAAAAUAUGACCCUUUUCAAAAAAUGUUCCAUGAGCAUCUGAGAAAAAAUGUAUAUUCUGCAAUGCUUGGGUACAAUAUUCUGUUGAUGUCUGUUAAGUCCAUUUGAUCUAUAAUAUCACUUAACUCUAUUUCUUUGUUGAUAUUUUUGUCUGUUUGCGUGAAUGGCCUACCAAUUAGAGUAAGAAACUCAAGUAACUACUGCCAUGGUACUGAGGUCAAUCUGUGCCUUUAUAGCUCAAUAGUGUUUGCCUUAUGAAAUAGGGUAUAUUCAUACUCAGGAGCUGUACAUUUAGAAUUGAAGUAUCUGUCAUCUUGAGGAACUGUCCCCUUAAAUAACAUGACUGUCUUUAUCACAAUUUUGGUUUGAAGUCUUUGUGCAGGAAUAUUAUUUCCUAUAUCCACUUGCUUUCUAGGUGUAUGUACUUACUUGGAAUCUCUUUUUCCCUUUUAACCCAGGACUGUGCUUAGCGUUGACAGUUAUGUGUGUUUCUGGUAUACUACACAUAGAUGGGUCUGGUAUACUAUACAUAGAUGGGUCUGGUAUACUACACAUAGAUGGGUCUGGGCUUCUUUGUUGUGGUUUUGUUGCUUGAGACAAGUCUAUGUAUCCCUGGCUGUCCUGAACUCAAAAAAGCUCUCCUGCUUCUGCCUCCUGAGUGAUAGGGUUAAAAGUGUGAACUACCAUAACUUGCUUGGGUCCAGUGUUUUAAUCCAACCUACAGGUCAUUAUUUUCUAAUUAGAAACUAGGAGCAUUCAGUAUUGAAAGGCAUACAUUAACUCCUGUCAUUUGGGUACUUUUUUUUUUUUUGGUCAUAUCUAGUACUUUCCUAAUCAUUUGGUUAUCAACCUAGUGGGACAGUCUCUCCAUAUAGCUUCAUGAAUGUUUCUCUCUCUAUUCAGUGUAUAAUUCCCUUAAGUAUCUUCCCUAAUGCUUCAUUAGUAGUCAUGAGUUCCUUUAUCAUAGAAACUUUUCCCUUCUUUAAUUAUUAAGGAUACCUUUGCUGAGUAUAGUAAAUCUUGGUUGGCCACUACUGUCUUUGAG